rnacentral:rRNA from 1 species
AAAAUCCGCCUGUCAUAUACCGAGGCUGCCGAUCGAGCGAGCUUGCUCGCGAAGUGAUUGAACGAGGUUCCAGGAAAAGCCACUAAGCUUCAGCUACACACGACCGUACCGCAAACCGACACUGGUGCGCGAGAUGAGUAUUCUAAGGCGCUUGAGAGAACUCGGGAGAAGGAACUCGGCAAAUUGACACCGUAACUUCGGAAGAAGGUGUGCCCUAGUAGUGUGAAGUGAACAACGGAGCAUGAAUGGGUUGCAAAAAAUCGGUGGCUGCGACUGUUUAUUAAAAACACAGCACUCUGCAAACACGAAAGUGGACGUAUAGGGUGUGACGCCUGCCCGGUGCUGGAAGAUUAAAUGAUGGGGUGCAAGCUCUUGAUUGAAGUCCCAGUAAACGGCGGCCGUAACAAUAACGGUCCUAAGGUAGCGAAAUUCCUUGUCGGGUAAGUUCCGACCUGCACGAAUGGCGUAACGAUGGCCACACUGUCUCCUCCCGAGACUCAGCGAAGUUGAAAUGUUUGUGAUGAUGCAAUCUCCCCGCGGAAAGACGGAAAGACCCCAUGAACCUUUACUGUAGCUUUGUAUUGGACUUUGAACAGAUCUGUGUAGGAUAGGUGGGAGGCUUUGAAGCAGGGUCGCUAGAUCUUGUGGAGCCAACGUUGAAAUACCACCCUGGUGUGUUUGAGGUUCUAACCUAGGUCCAUUAUCUGGAUCGGGGACAGUGCAUGGUAGGCAGUUUGACUGGGGCGGUCUCCUCCCAAAGCGUAACGGAGGAGUUCGAAGGUACGCUAGUUACGGUCGGACAUCGUGACGAUAGUGCAAUGGCAUAAGCGUGCUUAACUGCGAGACUGACAAGUCGAGCAGAUGCGAAAGCAGGACAUAGUGAUCCGGUGGUUCUGUAUGGAAGGGCCAUCGCUCAACGGAUAAAAGGUACUCUGGGGAUAACAGGCUGAUACCGCCCAAGAGUUCAUAUCGACGGCGGUGUUUGGCACCUCGAUGUCGGCUCAUCUCAUCCUGGGGCUGUAGCCGGUCCCAAGGGUAUGGCUGUUCGCCAUUUAAAGAGGUACGUGAGCUGGGUUUAAAACGUCGUGAGACAGUUUGGUCCCUAUCUUCCGUGGGCGCUGCAGAUUUGAGGAAGCCUGCUCCUAGUACGAGAGGACCGGAGUGGACGCACCUCUGGUGUAUCGGUUGUCACGCCAGUGGCAUUGCCGAGUAGCUAUGUGCGGAAGAGAUAACCGCUGAAAGCAUCUAAGCGGGAAACUCGUUCCAAGAUGAGAUCUGCCGGGGCCUUGAGCCCCCUAAAGAGUCGUUCAAGACCAGGACGUUGAUAGGUCAGGUGUGGAAGCGCAGUAAUGCGUUAAGCUAACUGAUACUAAUUGCUCGUGCGGCUUGACCCC